GGAGCCUCAGCGCUUUCGGCGCCAUUUUCGAGUGAUGCCUGAUCUCAUCAAUCUAGCGGGAGAGACGGGAUAACCUGUCGGAGAGCAUAACGCCACUAGGACUCAGCCGAAAAAUUACUAAAAAAAUCGCCAAAAAUUACUUCGAGCAAAGGGCACUUGGCGGAGCUUCGCCAGGGUUGGCGCAGCCGGUUUUGACCUUUAGGAGAGAGCCAAUUCUGGAGAACAACCUAACUUCUUUGAUUGAACAUUCACAUAAUGCAUUGGAACAUGAUAGGAGGUUAAGGUGAAUAACAACAAAAUGAAGACCAUAAUAAAACAAGCCCCCUACUUAGCCCUGCAAUUCUUACCUUUCUUACCUACUUGAUGAAGAUGUCAUUUGAAUUGGUGUACUGCAAGGAAUUAAAUGCUGUUUGUAAAUUAUGCUUUUACCAAGGUGGAUAUUACUAUCCCUUAUUCAUGGAAAAAGUUGUAUUCUAAGUGUUGUUUCCCAUUGAGUAUUAGCAAAAAGGAGAAAAAUUAAUGUCCUAAACUUUUGAGAUAGAUUUGGCUCUAGUAAGUAUUUAGACCUAUUAUUAAUAGGGUUGGCCAAAAAGUUCGUUCGGUUUUUUCCCAUAAGAUGGCUCUAGUAGUGAGUGCUUAGUUGUCUUUAACUUCAUUCAGAGCAGUUUUGUUAGGUUGUAUUGUGACAGCUGUCAUAUCAGAGUGCCGAUUAAAAAAAACUUAUCAAAAAAACUUAUCAAAAUUGGUGAAUUUUUGUAUAGCUAUUUUAGUAUUGAAGAUGGAAGAAAAAAGCAACAUUUUCGGCAUAUUAUGCUUUAUUAUUUCAAGAAAGGUAAAAACACAACUGAAACGCAAAAAAAGAUUCGUGCAUUGUGUGGAGAAGGUGCUGUGACUGAUCAAACGUGUCAAAAAUGGGUUUGUGAAGUUUUGUGCUGGAGAUGUCUUGCUGGACGAUGCUCCACGGUUGGGUAGACCAAUUGAAGUUGACAGGAAUCAAAUCAAGACAUUAAUUGAGAACAACCAACGUUAUACCACGUGGGAGAUAGCCGACAUACUCAAAAUAUCCAAAUCAAGCUUUGAAAAUCAUUUGCAGCAGCUUGGUUAUGUUAAUCGCUUUGAUGUUUGGCUUCCACAUAAGUUAAGUGAAAAAAACCUUCCUGCAUAUUUCCGCGUGUGAUUCUCUACUUAAACGUAACGAAAACAUUCCGUUUUUAAAACAAAUUGUGACGGGCAAUGAAAAGUGGAUACUGUACAAUAAUGUGGAACAGAAGAGAUCUUGGGCAAGUGAAAUGAACCACCACCAACCACACCAAAGUCCGUUCUUCAUCCAAAGAAGGUGACGUUGUGUAUUUGGUGGAAUUGGAAGGGAGUCCCCUCUUAUGAGCUCCUUCCAGAAAACCAAACAAUUAAUUGCAAGAAGUGCUGCUCCCAAUUAGACCUACUGAAAUCAGCACUCGAUGAAAAGCAUCCAGAAUUAGUCAACAGAAAACACAUAAUCUGGGACUUCCCUGGUUGUCCAGUGGUUAAGACUCUGUGCUUCCACUGCAGGGGGUGCAGCUCUGAUCCCUGGUCAGGGAACUAAGAUCCCACAUGCCACGCAACGCAGCCAAAAAUAAAUGAAUAAAUUUAAAAAGCAAAAAGAAAGAAAACGCGUAAUCUUCCAUCAGGAUACCGCAAGACUGCAUGUUUCUUUGAUGACUAGGCAAAAACUGUUACAGCUUGGCUAGGAAGUUCUGAUUCAUCCACCAUAUUCACCAGACAUUGCACCUUCGGAUUUCCAUUUAUUUCGGUCUUUACAAAAUUCUCUUAAUGGAAAAAAUUUCAAUUCCCUGCAGGACUAUAAAAGGCACCUGGAAUAGUUCUUUGCUCAAAAAGAUUAAAAAUUUUGGGAAGAAGGAAUUAUGAAGUUGCCUGAAAAAUGGCAGAAGGUAGUAGAACAAAAGGGCAAAUACGUUGUUCAAUAAAGUUCUUGGUGAAAAUGAAAAAUGUGUCUUUUAUUUUUACUUAAAACCCAAAGGAAUUUUUUGGCCAACCCAAUACUUACAUGUCUGGGAGAAGGAAUAAGAGACCAUCAUCAGUACAUUUCCAGCUAAAAUUUUUUAUUUUCUUACCUCUUAUCAAGGGGUUUCUUAAAAUUCCUGUUUUAUUACUAAUAGCUUGAGCCCCUUUAAUGGAGAAUUAAUUUCUCCAGCAGAAUUUAAGAGUUUAUGUUCUUACCUUGUUUAUUUAUAAAAUCUCACAGAUUUCUGAUUUUUUUUUUUUAGGCUAUUUGCAAUGAAGAAAAUGUUGGCAAAAUAAGUUUAAACUUUUUAUGUUAAAAUUACUGUGCAAGGUAACAAGUUAGUUGCUGGGUUUUUGUUUUUAUUAUACUGAAAUUAAAUUCAACAUUUAUAAUUUCUCUGGGUCUAUUUCUUGAUUUUUAAUCCAUGGGAUUCGUGCAAAAACUUCAUGAAUAAUACAUUUAGAUUAGCAUAUGUAUGAGUACAGGUCCCCCUUAAUUCUGUGGAACUUUGAAUAAUCUGAUACUUAUCAUAUUCUUGUGAUUGAACUUUUGUGUUUUGAAACAAUGUAAACUGCCUGGAGAAUCUUGUUAUUGUUUAUAUUUAUCUUAUGCUAUAGGGUUAGAUUUUGUUUGAGAAAUUAUGCUGAGAAAAAAAUUUUUAAGCCACCUUUACAGUAAAUGUCCUCAAUUUGAUUAACUUGUUAUUAAAGUUAUUCUGUAUAUCUUCAUUUUAUAAUUUAAGCACUUAGCAUGGAUUAAUAUCUUUAGGAAGCAGUAGAAACUUUAAAAUCACUCCAGAGUCUGCUUAUUUCCACAUCUCAUUAUUUUAUAAUCUUUGGGAAUGCUUGUAUUUAUGAAAGUAACAUUUUUCAGGGAUAUAAAUUCUAAUAGAACCACUAAAACUUUUUUUCUGUUUGGACUUUAAUGCAUACAAUAGUAACUACAGGAUAAUUUUUUUUAAGUUUUCAUGUGAUCAGUUAAAAAUACCACUUUAGCAUGAAGCAACGAAGUAGAAUGUCGUCCCAUAGUUAGAAGUAAAGAAAGUUUAAGUACAUCAUUUCUUAAGAGAAUUUGUACAUUUUAACAUAGUCUAUGCAGAUUUUUAUGUUAAUUUGUUUUUCCAUAAAUGUCUUUUCUGGCUUAUGUUUAACAAGGAGCAUUAAAAAUAGAUUUGAAGCAUUUAUAUAUAGAGGACUACAAAUUUAUUUAUUCUACUGUAUUGGCACUGAGGAUCAGCACUGAACAAAACAGAUAAAUUCCAGCCCUCAUGAGCUUACAGUUUUGGGGGUGAGGCAUGGGUAAUAGAAUAGACAAACUGAUAGGUACUAAUAUGUGGUAUGUCAGAUGGUGAUAAGUUCUAUGA